rnacentral:rRNA from 1 species
AGGAUGAACGCUGGCGGCGUGCCUAAUACAUGCAAGUCGAGCGGUAAGGCCACUUCGGUGGUACACGAGCGGCGGACGGCUGAGUAACACGUAGGAACGUACCCCAAACUGAGGGAUAAGCACCAGAAAUGGUGUCUAAUACCGCAUGUGCUCUUCGGAGUAAAGCUACGGCGGUUUGGGAACGGCCUGCGCAAGAUUAGCUUGUUGGUGAGGUAAUAGCUCACCAAGGCGACGAUCUUUAGCUGGUCUGAGAGGAUGACCAGCCAGACUGGAACUGAGAACGGUCCAGACUCCUACGGGAGGCAGCAGUAGGGAAUUUUCCACAAUGGACGAAAGUCUGAUGGAGCAACGCCGCGUGCAGGAUGAAGGCCCUCGGGUCGUAAACUGCUUUUAUAUGUGACGAUUAUGACGGUAGCAUAUGAAUAAGGAUCGGCUAACUCCGCGCCAGCAGCCGCGGUAA